AUGCAAGUCGAGCGGUAACAGGCAUAAAGAUUCAGCUUGCUGAAUCCGGCGCUGACGAGCGGCGAACGGGAGAGUAACGCGUAGGAAUCUACCCAGUAGCGGGGGAUAGCCCGAGGAAACUCGGAUUAAUACCGCAUACGCCCUGAGGGGGAAAGGGGGCAGUUUACUGCUCUCACUAUUGGAUGAGCCUGCGUAAGAUUAGCUUGUUGGUGGGGUAAUGGCCUACCAAGGCGACGAUCUUUAGCUGGUCUGAGAGGACGAUCAGCCACAUUGGGACUGAGACACGGCCCAGACAUCUACGGAUGGCAGCAGUUAAGAAUAUUGGACAAUGGGGGCAACCCUGAUCCAGGUAUACCGCGUGUGUGAAGAAGGCCCUAGGGUUGUAAAGCACUUUAAUCAGUGAAGAAGCAUAUUGAGUUAAUACCUCACUAUGUUGACGUUAACUGAAGAAUAAGGACCGGCUAACUCCGUGCCAGCAGCCGCGGUAAUACGGAGGGUCCAAGCGUUAAUCGGAAUUACUGGGCGUAAAGCGCGCGUAGGCGGUUUAGCAAGUUGUAUGUGAAAGCCCUGGGCUCAACCUAGGAACUGCAUCCAAAACUACUAAGCUAGAGUACGAGAGAGGAGAGUAGAAUUUCUGGUGUAGCGGUGAAAUGCGUAGAUAUCAGAAGGAAUACCAAUGGCGAAAGGCAGCUCUCUGGCUCGUCACUGACGCUGAGGUGCGAAAGCGUGGGUAGCAAACAGGAUUAGAUACCCUGGUAGUCCACGCCGUAAACGAUGAGAACUAGCCGUUGGGCAGAUUUAACUGUUCAGUGCACAGCUAACGCAUUAAGUCUCCGCCUGGGAGUACGGCCGCAAGGCUAAAACUCAAAUG
rnacentral:rRNA from 1 species